GACGAACGCUGGCGGCGUGCUUAACACAUGCAAGUCGAACGGAAAGGCCCUGCUUUUGUGGGGUGCUCGAGUGGCGAACGGGUGAGUAACACGUGAGUAACCUGCCCUUGACUUUGGGAUAACUUCAGGAAACUGGGGCUAAUGCCGGAUAGGAGCUCCUGCUGCAUGGUGGGGGUUGGAAAGUUUCGGCGGUUGGGGAUGGACUCGCGGCUUAUCAGCUUGUUGGUGGGGUAGUGGCUUACCAAGGCUUUGACGGGUAGCCGGCCUGAGAGGGUGACCGGAGACAUUGGGCCGGGAACAAGGCGGAGAGCAGGAGGGGGGGAAGAAGGGGGGUAUGUGGAACAAGGGGGGAGAGCCGGAGGCGGAGAGGCGGCGUGGGGGGGGGCGGCUUGCGGGUUGGAAACCGCUUGCGCCGGUAAAAAGGGGGGAGUGACGGUAGGGGGUAAAGAAGCCCCGGCUAAACACGUG
rnacentral:rRNA from 1 species